CAAAAUAUUAGUCAAUGCUCGCAAGAGUGAACUAGCUAACUGAAAUCCUUGGUGUGUCAUCGAGGAUAACGUAAGGGAAAAUAAUGAUACCACCUUACUAUUAGUGUCGUCCAAAUGCUCGUGCCAGAAGACUCGGUAAGGCGAGAGACGCAAACGUUAUUCGUCUUGAUCAGGCGUAAAGGGUUUGUAGGCGGCUUUAAGUAUCCAAUUUUAAGUUUACUAUUAUAAUGCUAUAAGUGUUAUAAUAUUUAUUAAAGGGUCAAUUAAAGCUAGAAUCUAACAGAGGUUAAAACAAUACUUAAGGUAGGUGUACUAACCAUAAAUAAUAAGCAGAGUGUUAAGGGCGAAGGCAUUUAUCCACUGAAGAUUGACGCUGAGAAACGAAGGUGAGGACAGAAAAAAGGAUUAGAGACCCUUGUAUCCCUCACUGUCAACGAUGAAUGGUAGUUACUAGGGAGAAAUAACCUAGAGACGAUGUUAACACGAAAACCAUUCCGCCUUGUGAGUACGACUGCAAAGUUGAAAACAAAAAAAUUAGUCGGUUUCGGAGCAAACGAAGUGAAGCAUGUUAUUUAU
rnacentral:rRNA from 1 species